rnacentral:rRNA from 1 species
ACCUCAAGUCAUGUGAGAGUACCCGCUGAACUUAAGCAUAUCAAUAAGCGGAGGAAAAGAAACUAACAAGGAUUCCCCUAGUAACGGCGAGUGAAGCGGGAAGAGCACAAAAUUUAAAUCUACCUGGUUUUCAGGUCGAGUUGUAAUUUGAAGAAACGUUUUUUACGUUCCGGGUUGGAUUAAAUCCUUUGGGAUAAGGUAUCAUGGAGGGUGAGAAUCCCGUGUAUACCAACCACUGGAAUGUUAUUAAUACGAUUUCUAAGAGUCGAGUUGUUUGGGAAUGCAGCUCUAAAUGGGUGGUAAAUUUCACCUAAUGCUAAAUAUAAGCGAGAGACCGAUAGUGAACAAGUACCGUGAGGGAAAGAUGAAAAGAACUUUGAAAAGAGAGUUAAAUAGUACGUGAAAUUGUUGAAAGGGAAACGGUUGAAGUCAGUCAUACCGGUGGGAAUCAACUUAGGGGAAACUCUAAGUGCACUUCUUCGCUUGGUAGGUUAGCGUCGAUUUUGGAUGUCAUAAAAUGACUGGGGGAAGGUAGCUCCUUUUAGGAGUGUUAAGCCCUUAGUAGAUGUGAUGUCUGAGAUCGAGGAUUGCAACGGAUACCUUUUAGGUUAACCGCCUGGUCUCUAAUACGAACUUAGGUUACGGACAGCAUGCUGACUGUGAUCUAAUCUUCGGUUAAAAGAUUAGAGUGAGUGUAAAUUCGUUAAGGACGCUGACGUAAUGGCUUUAAACGACCCGUCUUGAAACACGGACCA